GAUGAACGCUGGCGGCGUGCCUAACACAUGCAAGUCGAGCGAACCCUUCGGGGUGAGCGGCGGACGGGUGAGUAACGCGUGGGUAACCUGCCCUGUACACACGGAUAACAUACCGAAAGGUAUGCUAAUACGAGAUAAUAUAUUUUAAUCGCAUGGUUAAGAUAUCAAAGCUCCGGCGGUACAGGAUGGACCCGCGUCUGAUUAGCUAGUUGGUGAGGUAAUGGCUCACCAAGGCGACGAUCAGUAGCCGACCUGAGAGGGUGAUCGGCCACACUGGAACUGAGACACGGUCCAGACUCCUACGGGAGGCAG
rnacentral:rRNA from 1 species